CCAAAAUAAAGACGGUGCAGUAAAAAAGAAAUAAUCGAUUGGUGUUAUUUCCACCCCACCAUUCCCUUCCAUUUCUUAUGCUGAAAAUUAGGUCAGAAACAAAUAAUUUGAAGUAGAAAAUGAGCUUGAAAAGUGUUCUUGUUCUUGUUGAUUAGAAACUUUUGAUUACAUGCUAGUGAUAUAAAGAGGGGAGAAAAUGCCACAUAGAACGAGGCCCAUGACAGGGAUGUUGGUAUUUCUAGGGGUCAAUGCAGUUUUACUGUCAACGAUCUCUCCGGUGUAUGAUUUCGUCUGCUUCCUACCUUACUGGGAUAGAAGGAGAGAAAGACGCCGUAUUGAAAGGGAAGGUGCUUUGGCAAAGGAAUCGUAAUAGGCUUGAAGUAUGUUCUGAAAUUUUAUAUGUGGGAUGAAGCAGCUGCACUUCAAUUCGGACGAUUGGAUUUGUAACUUCUCUUGAUAUCAAGAAGCUACUUUUGAAUGGUUGUUUCUACAUAUUCUUAAGACAUUUAAGAUUAUAAUAUUGUAAGCCAAGAUGUGAUUUCUGGAGCUUCAUCAUUUAGAGCUUUUUUUUAUAUACAGAGAAGUAGAUUAAGUAAUGAGCUUUUUUUUUUAUUUA